GAAAUUGGUAACUAGAGGGUAAAAUGAAGGAGCUUGGUGAGAGUUUUUAUAAGCAGUGAAAAUUCUGCCAAACUAUUCCCAUGACUUUUGAUAUCCAGCAUGGUAUAACCCUGGCUCUGUAUCAAGUUUUCAAUUCUGAUAUUGCAGUUUUGAAAGUAGUUUAUAGAAACAUAAGAACUCAUUAAAAACUCAUUCAAUGAUCCACUUUGUAGCCUUGUGACUAAUCCAGAAAGUAGAGUCUGUGUCUCUU
rnacentral:lncRNA from 1 species